rnacentral:tRNA from 1 species
GUUUAUGUAGUUUAAAUAAAACAUUAUAUUUUCAAUAUAAAAUAGGUGAUUUAACUCUCCCAUAAAUU